rnacentral:tRNA from 1 species
GCGCUUGGUCUAGGGGUAUGAUUUUCGCUUCGCAUCCAGCACGUUUACGCGCUGCAUGUCUGUGAAAGGUCGUGGGUUCAAUUCCCACAGCGUAAGCA